rnacentral:lncRNA from 1 species
GUCUAGAAUCAAAUAUUUUAUUUGCCCUGUCAUUUCAUUCCACGCCACUCCUAGUAUCGUGUGAGCCAAAACACCUCCACCAAUCAUAACUGGAGUUCCUUCAGUCUUGAAAUGAUUAGCAAGUUCUCUUCCCUGCAAAGCGAGUUCAGAACCCUGGCUGACAAAUAAUAUUUUUGACGUUAUGCCAAAGAGUUGAUUCAAAACAAGCUGCACCUCGAUUGAACCAAUCCACUGCCGUG